AAUAAAUUGUUUGCUUUAUUUCGUAAACAUUGUUAUUGUUGGGAAAAGAAAUAUUUCCUGCAUGCACUAACAGUGACAUUUGUAAUAUAUUUGGUAUCUGUGCCGUCCUUUGAGUAUUCUUCGGUGGGGCUGAUUUUCCUUAUUUUUCACUCCUGCAACAAUAUUGUACACCGUUUUUGUUUCAAUGCUGUUCCUAAUAAAAUGUACGAAAUUGCAAGUGCACUCGAAAAUAAAAGCACUUUUAUGCGCUCAGAGAACAAUUAAUGUCGCCUGCUCGUUGAAAUCGUUGCUGGAAUUAUUGUGUGCAAUUAGAAAUAAGCUUCUUUAAUACUUUACAGAAAAUAAUUUUGCAUAAAUAUAUGCGCCGUAUAUUUCUUUCCGGCGAUGUGUACCCACACGUCGCAUUUAUGGCGCAAGAAAACUUUCCGCAACUUGACCAAGUCAGCUUGGGCAACGGUCCACUGCUGAAAGAGCGGCGCACGCUCGAUGCUGGCCUUAGCGGACCGUAGUGGACGACUACACGGCGGUUACUGGUACUAGAUGUAGAUAAAACGAAUCAUCGCGCUAACAUUCACAGUAACUGCUACAAACUACCGCAAGCUACCCACUUUGGUGGCGAACCAGCACCCAAAUUUAUGUACUCGCGAGGUCAUCGAUAACGCCUCCCGAGCCGUCGCAGUCACAAUGGUAAAUUUUUUUUAAUAUUGCGAAUUGACGCCUUUCCGGUAAUACAGAUAGCAAGAACUUACGCUAUGCGGUGAAAUAACCUGCAGAACCCGCACAGCGUAGGCGCAGGACUGCAACACGUUUCAGGUUUUGCGCUACAAACAUCUCUCGGAGGCGACAUCAAGGGCCUCAAAAGGAGCCGUCAUCUGAGCCCACUACCCCUAUUCUAGCAAACUGUAGUCAAAUGCAGCGAAUGCAACGACGCCGUUUCCGAAGCGCACAGAGUUGCCAGAUCACACGCGCGCAGAUAUGGUGGCUAGAAAGCAUAGCGCAGGCUCCCAGCUCCCGACAGUACCGGAAAGUUGCUGUAUAACCCGCGCGCGUUCGAAUCGCUUGCUUGUUGUGGGCCCUGUUCUCCGACGGUACGAAGCGCUUUCUUUCGCUGCACACGCUGUGGCUGGUCCGCUCGGGACGAGGCUUUCGCUGGAUCUGAAACUGAAACGCGUCGCAUAACACCCAGGGCGCGAUAUUUCGCUGCGCGCUUUCGCUGCAGCGGUAGAAAUGGGUUGCAUCGCCUUGCCUUGCACAGGCAGUCUUCUGGGGCUUGCGCUGCUCGUAAUUAUACACUUUUCUGAAACAGAGACGCGCGUCGCAUAACACUCGGGGCGCUUUAAUUCGCUGCGCGCGAUCGCUGCAACGGGGCAAAGUGUUUGCUGUGCCUUUAUCUGCGUAAAGAAUUUUUCCGAAACGCGACGCGAAACCCCCGGGGCUUUUUUUUUUCUGGUUACGCGCGCGGUUUCCACCGCAAGUGCGUCGCGCGCCGGCGCGGAUCUAUCGCUACGUACCUGCAAGUUCACCUGCAUGCUUUUGCUUCUUGUCUGUCACCACGCGAGGGCUACAGCUUAAGCGUCUUUAGAACUUUCAGUCGUCACAGCUGCGUAAUGAUUGUAUUGCGAGCAGCGUAAGCCCCAGAAGACUGCCUGUGCAAUGCAAGGCGAUGCAACCCUUUUCUACCGUUGUAGCGAGAGCGCGCAGCGAUAUGUCGCGCCCCGAGUGUUAUGCGACGCGUCUGUUUCAGAUCGUUCUCGAUCACUUGUGCAUCAUUAAUCGAGCUCAGCUUGACCCUUGGCCCACUACUCAAUCAGGCUUGAAGCUUUCGAUGUCUGCUAAUCAAUAGAACAGCACCAGAUCUCGCUUUGUGUCAUGAGGAGGCACACAUUUGCUUAGAUCUGGGCAGAUGCAUGUCUUUCUUCUGCAUUGAAGUUCCCAAUACUUUCUAGUCUUAGGUGAAAGUGUACAGCUCAGCACAAUGCAUGCACGGUAUACAUAAGGCUGCUUUGUCAGCAAGAAGCAGCUACUGCCGUUCUUGCAAACCCUACCGUAUUUCCUAACCAUUCCUUGAUCAAAAGUGUAUAAAAUGAAUCUGUACUUGUUCUAUUGUUUCACAGAUAGACAUCGGUGAUGGUGUAUAUGUUGAAAAGGGACUGCUGAAGAAGCUGCGCCUGGAUCCUAACAAUUCAGGCUUGCAGUCUGCGGUUUCGCUCGUUAAAGCUCUUCUUACAAAAGAUGUUGAAGGCAGGUCCUUCUUUGGGCGGCCGUCAAAUGCCUUCCACAGAAGGAUCCGUUGGAUUCCAAGGUCAACACCACACUCAACUCCACAACGCAACAUUUCGGUGUACUUCCAGGGCAGCUGAACAACUCGUUAUCCUCAUUACUAGCUCGGGGAUAUUAAAUGGAUGUAUUCAAGCA
rnacentral:lncRNA from 1 species